GGGAGGUGGUGACGAAAAGUACCGGAUGGCGACAUUGUUGCCAGUCUGGAAUGAAAACAAUUUAAGCAAUUGAAUUGAGUAACGACUGGAGGGCAAGUCUGGUGCCAGCAGCCGCGGUAAUUCCAGCUCCAGUGGCGUAUCUCAAAGUUGCUGCGCUUAAAACGCUCGUAGUUGGAUCACUCACUACAAAUCGGUGUGCUUUGCUGUGGUGCAUUUCUGAAAACACAUUGAGAAAUCAGUGUCCCUGUUCGGAUGCACUGCAGCGGGUUUUUUAGCCGAUUUGUAGUAAUUGCACGUGAGGAUGGUCGUUGACCUUGAGUGCGUUGAUGACUGUGUCUCACGGGGUGUGCCUUGAGUAAAUCAGAGUGCUUAAAGCAGGCGUAACGCUUGAAUGUUGAUAGCAUGGAACGAACAAUCGUGUAUGGUGUGCAUUGAUAACGGUUGCAUUUAUUGCCACUGCAAUGCAUGACACCGACCACCAAUUACGUAUGUUGGUUACGUAUUGGGGUACUGAUUAAGAGGAGCGGUUGGGGGCAUUGGUAUUUGGCAGCGAGAGGUGAAAUUCUUGGACCUGCCAAGGACUAACAAAUGCGAAGGCAUCUGUCCAGACCGUAUCUAUUAAUCAAGAACGAAAGAGAGAGGUUCGAAGACGAUCAGAUACCGUCCUAGUUCUCUCUGUAAACUAUGCCGACCCGGGAUCAGUUUGGAGUUAAUUUGUCCACGCUCGGAGUUGGUCCCCCUGGGAAACCUAAAGUUUUUCGGUUGCGGGGGGAGUAUGGUCGCAAGGCUGAAACUUAAAGGAAUUGACGGAAGGGCACCACCAGGGGUGGAGCCUGCGGCUUAAUUUGACUCAACACGGGAAAACUUACCUGAUCCGAACAUUUUAAGGAUAAACAGAUUGCAGAUCUUUUUUGAUUGAAUGAUUGGUGGUGCAUGGCCGUUCUUAGUUCGUGGAGUGAUUUGUCAGGUUAAUUCCGGUAACGAACGAGACCACAAUCUCCAUUUGACGAGCUGAAGUAGAUGUUGGGGUGAUUGGAUUUUGGCAACAGAAACCGUUACUCUCAUCAUUGUAGGUAUUUGCAUGGUUUCCAUCUCCUCCCGGCUAGUGGUAACACUAGUCGGUGGGGUGGGCGUUGUGUAAUAUCCCUUCAGUCUAGCAGUUCAUGAUUCGCAAGAGUUGUGGGUUGUAUCAUGGAGAGACAAC
rnacentral:rRNA from 1 species